rnacentral:rRNA from 1 species
CAGUAGCCGCGGUAAUACGUAGGUGGCAAGCGUUGUCCGGAAUUAUUGGGCGUAAAGCGCGCGCAGGCGGAUCGGUCAGUCUGUCUUAAAAGUUCGGGGCUUAACCCCGUGAUGGGAUGGAAACUGCCAAUCUAGAGUAUCGGAGAGGAAAGUGGAAUUCCUAGUGUAGCGGUGAAAUGCGUAGAUAUUAGGAAGAACACCAGUGGCGAAGGCGACUUUCUGGACGAAAACUGACGCUGAGGCGCGAAAGCCAGGGGAGCGAACGGGAUUAGAGACCCCUGUAGUCCCUGUCUCUUAUACA